rnacentral:misc_RNA from 1 species
GCGAGGAGACGCACGCGGCG